rnacentral:tRNA from 1 species
GUGGCAGUAGCUCAGUGGUAGAGCCUUCAACUGAUAUACGAAGAGACCCGGAUUUAACUCCCGGCCGCUUCU